rnacentral:lncRNA from 1 species
UUUAAUAAUAGCUCAUGCAUGGUUAGACUAUAUAUAUUUUUUAUUUGCUCAAGAUAACAUCUUUCAUGCAAAGACACUAAUCAUAUAGUGCAAAGGGACGAAUAUUCGUCCUUGUACCAAGGAAGGUAAUCUCAUGGGUAAUCUUAUGAUGCAUAGGGAUGUAUUUUCAUUCCCGCCAUAAAAAAACGUAAAAUGUAACUUUAUGGCAGUCUUAUGGCAAAAGGUGAAAGGUAAGUUCAUGGUAGUCUUAUGGCAAAGGUAAAAGGUAAUUUCAUGGUAGUUUUAUGUCAAAAGGUAACUUCAUGGUAGUCUUGUGGCAUGUAGAGAUGGCUACUCAUUCCCGCCAUAACAAAGGUAACUUUAUGGUAAUUUAUGGCGCAUAGGGAUGACUACUCAUACCCACCAUAAGAAAGGUAAAAGGUAACUUUACGGUAAUCUUACGACACAUAAGGAUGACUUAUUUGUCCCUUCCAUACGAAAAGGUAACUUUGUGGUAAUCUUACGGCACAUAGGGGCGGCUUAUUCGUCCCUGCCAUAAGAAAAGGUAACCUUAUGGUAAUCUUAUGGCGCAUAGGGAUGACUACUCGUACCCACCAUAAAAAGGUAAAAGAUAACUUUAUGGUAAUGCGCAUCGGGAUGACUACUCGUCCCCGCCAUAAGAAAAGGUAACUUUGUGGUAAUCUUACGGCGCAUAGGUACAGCUUAUUCAUUCCUGCCAUAAGAAAAGGUAACCUUAGGAUAAUCUUAUAGCGCAUAGGGAUGGCUACUCAUCCCCGCCAUAAGAAAAGGUAAUUUCAUGAAGAUUGGAAGGUAAACUCAAGAAGGUUUGAAGGAUUUAAAGACUUCAACUUAUAGAUCAAAGAACCGGAUGACUCCAACUUUCAAACUCUGAAAGCUUCAAUAUGGCAGACUUGAAGACUUCAACUUAUAGUCGCAGAGCAUCUGAAGACUUCAACUUGUAGACUUUGUGAACUUGUAGGUUUUAAUAUGGUGAAGUUAAAAUAUCCAACAUAAAGACUGAGUGAAUUUGAAGACUUCAACUUAUAUGCAUAGGUAAUUUGAAGACUUCAACUAUCAGACUUCGUGAACUUGCAGGCUCAAAUAUGGUAACUUGAAAUCUCCAACAUGAAGACUUAGUGAAUUUAAAGACUUCAACUUAUAUGCAUAAAUUAUUUGAAGACUUCAACUAUCAAACUUAGUGAAUUUGAAGACUUCAACUCAUAUCCAAGAAGCUUAUACUUCAUAGGGAUUUGACCCCAUUGAGUCACCAACAUUUGGUAUAAGUCUGAAGAUUGAUGAUGUUAAAAGUCUUUUGAAGACUAAAUUUUUUAUAUGAGGGGGAAUGUGUAUUUUUUUGACACUCAUACAAAUGAACUCAGAAUAAAAUUCCAAGCGCCUACGUACCUCAAUGAAGAGGAUCAAGUCACAACGUAGUUCUGGGG